CCAUGCUACUAUGCCAUGUUGAACACACUCUAUCUCACCUAAUUUUGGAAGCUGUGCAGGUUUGGGCCUGGUUAAUAUUUGGACCAGAGACCACUAGGGCAAAUGGUGGACAUAGCUUAGA
ensembl:rRNA 5S_rRNA 5S ribosomal RNA